UACGGAGGUGGCAAGCGUUACUCGGAUUUACUGGGUGUAAAGGGCACGUAGGCGGUUCAGAAAGCUCUGCUUGAAAUCCUCGCGCUCAACGCGAGAUUGCGGUGGAUGACUGCUGGACUUGAGAAUUGGAGAGGUGAGCGGAACUCCCGGUGUAAGGGUGACAUCUGUAGAUAUCGGGAAGAACACCAGUGGCGAAGGCGGCUCACUGGCCAAUUACUGACGCUGAGGUGCGAAAGCUAGGGGAGCAAACAGG
rnacentral:rRNA from 1 species